GCCAGUGUGGUGUAGUGGUUUGAGCAUUGGACUAUGACUCUGGAGACCAGGGUUCAAAUGCCCGCUUGGCCA